rnacentral:lncRNA from 1 species
GACACGUGGCGCCUAGGUGCUGGAUAGAUUUUUUAAAUUUUUUUAAAAAUAGUAUAGCCGAGCGGCUAUACUCGCUUUUAACCCCUUUUUUUUUUUUGAAAAAAAAAAUGUUCAGAACUGUACAGCCGCAAGGUUUGACACGUGGCGCCUAGGUGCUGGCUGGAUCCCUAUUAUGUAUAUAAAUAGUACAGCCGCCCGGCUAUAAUAGAUUUUUAAAUUUUUUUUAAAAAUAGUAUAGCCGCGCGGCUAUACUCGCUUUUAAACCCUUUUUUUUUUUUUUUUUUUUUUAAUUUUCAGAACAGUACGGCCGCAUGGUUUGACACGUGGCGCCUAGGUGCUGGCUGGAUCCCUAUUAUGUAUAUAAAUAGUACAGCCGCCCGGCUAUAAUAGAUUUUUAAAAUUUUUUUUUUGAAAUAGUAUAGCCGCGCGGCUAUACUCGGUUUUAACCCCUUUUUUUUAAAAAAAAAUGUUCAGAACAGUACGGCCGCAUGGUUUGACACGUGGCGCCUAGGUGCUGGCUGGAUCCCUAUUGUGUAUAUAAAUAGUAUAGCCGCCCGGCUAUACUAGAUUUUCUUAAUUUUUUUUUAAAUAGUAUAGCCGCGCGGCUGUACCCUGCUAACCUAGCGAAUUUUGAAAAUAUAAAAUCAGUUUCUUUACUUUUGAUUUUUGUUGCCAACUUCUUUAAUUUCAUAUAUGUAAUUAAUUUAUAUCUUAGCCUUUUUGAAUUACUUGAAUUAGUAAGUACUUGAAGUUCAAUUUUUUUAAAUAUAUUUGAAGCCCUUGAAUUACUUUAAUUAAGGUCUUGAAGGGCUUAAUGAAUACAUUUAGAGACCUCGAAGGUUACGUAUUAUACAUGUACGUACGUGUUUUUCAUGUUUAACACACGUAUACACGCACAUAUUAUGGAAUAAAAAUAAUAUAUAUUUAAAAAAUACAGUAUAGUGACCGAAUUUUUGGGUUGUAAUGUGCCAAGAUAUUGCCGAAUCAAACACAUACGUAUUUAAUUCGCAUUUUUUUCCCUUCCGUAUUUUACUAACUAUGAAUGAAUGUGAGAGCUCACUUGUUCUAACAAAAAUGCAAGAUAUAUAUUAAGUAAUAUCAUUUAUGAAGUUAAUUAAAAUAUUUAAUAUCAAUUAUUCACUAGAUAAAUAAUAGGUAGGACCUAAUUCAUAAUUCAAGUAAUUAAAUCAGGCUAAGAGAUUGUUUAAUUACUAAAAAUAACCUUUUUUUUUUCUUAAAAAACAUUAUUGACCCUUUUUAAAAUAUAAAAAUAGUAUAGCCGCACGGCUAUACGCGCUUUAAACCCUUUUUUUUCCAGAUUUUAAAAACAGUACAGCCGCAUGGUUUGACACGUGGCGCCUAGGUGCUGGCUAGAUUUUUUAAAUUUUUUUUAAAAUAGUAUAGCCGAGCGGCUAUACUCGCUUUUAACCCCUUUUUUUUUUUGAAAAAAAAAAUGUUCAGAACUGUACAGCCGCAAGGUUUGACACGUGGCGCCUAGGUGCUGGCUGGAUCCCUAUUAUGUAUAUAAAUAGUACAGCCGCCCGGCUAUAAUAGAUUUUUAAAUUUUUUUUAAAAAUAGUAUAGCCGCGCGGCUAUACUCGCUUUUAAACCCUUUUUUUUUUUUUUUUUUUUUUAAUUUUCAGAACAGUACGGCCGCAUGGUUUGACACGUGGCGCCUAGGUGCUGGCUGGAUCCCUAUUAUGUAUAUAAAUAGUACAGCCGCCCGGCUAUAAUAGAUUUUUAAAAUUUUUUUUUUGAAAUAGUAUAGCCGCGCGGCUAUACUCGGUUUUAACCCCUUUUUUUUAAAAAAAAAUGUUCAGAACAGUACGGCCGCAUGGUUUGACACGUGGCGCCUAGGUGCUGGCUGGAUCCCUAUUAUGUAUAUAAAUAGUAUAGCCGCCCGGCUAUACUAGAUUUUCUUAAUUUUUUUUUAAAUAGUAUAGCCGCGCGGCUGUACCCUGCUAACCUAGCGAAUUUUGAAAAUAUAAAAUCAGUUUCUUUACUUUUGAUUUUUGUUGCCAACUUCUUUAAUUUCAUAUAUGUAAUUAAUUUAUAUCUUAGCCUUUUUGAAUUACUUUAAUUAGUAAGUACUUGAAGUUCAAUUUUUUUAAAUAUAUUUGAAGCCCUUGAAUUACUUUAAUUAAGGUCUUGAAGGGCUUAAUGAAUACAUUUAGAGACCUCGAAGGUUACGUAUUAUACAUGUACGUACGUGUUUUUCAUGUUUAACACACGUAUACACGCACAUAUUAUGGAAUAAAAAUAAUAUAUAUUUAAAAAAUACAGUAUAGUGACCGAAUUUUUGGGUUGUAAUGUGCCAAGAUAUUGCCGAAUCAAACACAUACGUAUUUAAUUCGCAUUUUUUUCCCUUCCGUAUUUUACUAACUAUGAAUGAAUGUGAGAGCUCACUUGUUCUAACAAAAAUGCAAGAUAUAUAUUAAGUAAUAUCAUUUAUGAAGUUAAUUAAAAUAUUUAAUAUCAAUUAUUCACUAGAUAAAUAAUAGGUAGGACCUAAUUCAUAAUUCAAGUAAUUAAAUCAGGCUAAGAGAUUGUUUAAUUACUAAAAAUAACCUUUUUUUUUUCUUAAAAAACAUUAUUGACCCUUUUUAAAAUAUAAAAAUAGUAUAGCCGCACGGCUAUACGCGCUUUAAACCCUUUUUUUUCCAGAUUUUAAAAACAGUACAGCCGCAUGGUUUGACACGUGGCGCCUAGGUGCUGGCUAGAUUUUUUAAAUUUUUUUAAAAAUAGUAUAGCCGAGCGGCUAUACUCGCUUUUAACCCUUUUUUUUUUUUUUGAAAAAAAAAAUGUUCAGAACUGUACAGCCGCAAGGUUUGACACGUGGCGCCUAGGUGCUGGCUGGAUCCCUAUUAUGUAUAUAAAUAGUACAGCCGCCCGGCUAUAAUAGAUUUUUAAAUUUUUUUUAAAAAUAGUAUAGCCGCGCGGCUAUACUCGCUUUUAAACCCUUUUUUUUUUUUUUUUUUUUUAAAAUGUUCAGAACAGUACGGCCGCAUGGUUUGACACGUGGCGCCUAGGUGCUGGCUGGAUCCCUAUUAUGUAUAUAAAUAGUACAGCCGCCCGGCUAUAAUAGAUUUUUAAAUUUUUUUUUUGAAAUAGUAUAGCCGCGCGGCUAUACUCGGUUUUAACCCCUUUUUUUUUUUAAAAAAAUCUUCAGAACAGUACGGCCGCAUGGUUUGACACGUGGCGCCUAGGUGCUGGCUGGAUCCCUAUUAUGUAUAUAAAUAGUAUAGCCGCCCGGCUAUACUAGAUUUUCUUAAUUUUUUUUUAAAUAGUAUAGCCGCGCGGCUGUACCCUGCUAACCUAGCGAAUUUUGAAAAUAUAAAAUCAGUUUCUUUACUUUUGAUUUUUGUUGCCAACUUCUUUAAUUUCAUAUAUGUAAUUAAUUUAUAUCUUAGCCUUUUUGAAUUACUUUAAUUAGUAAGUACUUGAAGUUCAAUUUUUUUAAAUAUAUUUGAAGCCCUUGAAUUACUUUAAUUAAGGUCUUGAAGGGCUUAAUGAAUACAUUUAGAGACCUCGAAGGUUACGUAUUAUACAUGUACGUACGUGUUUUUCAUGUUUAACACACGUAUACACGCACAUAUUAUGGAAUAAAAAUAAUAUAUAUUUAAAAAAUACAGUAUAGUGACCGAAUUUUUGGGUUGUAAUGUGCCAAGAUAUUGCCGAAUCAAACACAUACGUAUUUAAUUCGCAUUUUUUUCCCUUCCGUAUUUUACUAACUAUGAAUGAAUGUGAGAGCUCACUUGUUCUAACAAAAAUGCAAGAUAUAUAUUAAGUAAUAUCAUUUAUGAAGUUAAUUAAAAUAUUUAAUAUCAAUUAUUCACUAGAUAAAUAAUAGGUAGGACCUAAUUCAUAAUUCAAGUAAUUAAAUCAGGCUAAGAGAUUGUUUAAUUACUAAAAAUAACCUUUUUUUUUUCUUAAAAAACAUUAUUGACCCUUUUUAAAAUAUAAAAAUAGUAUAGCCGCACGGCUAUACUCGCUUUAAACCCUUUUUUUUUCCAGAUUUUAAAAACAGUACAGCCGCAUGGUUUGACACGUGGCGCCUAGGUGCUGGCUAGAUUUUUUAAAUUUUUUUAAAAAUAGUAUAGCCGAGCGGCUAUACUCGCUUUUAACCCCUUUUUUUUUUUGAAAAAAAAAAAUGUUCAGAACUGUACAGCCGCAAGGUUUGACACGUGGCGCCUAGGUGCUGGCUGGAUCCCUAUUAUGUAUAUAAAUAGUACAGCCGCCCGGCUAUAAUAGAUUUUUAAAAUUUUUUUUUUGAAAUAGUAUAGCCGCGCGGCUAUACUCGGUUUUAACCCCUUUUUUUGUUUUUUUUAAAAUGUUCAGAACAGUACGGCCGCAUGGUUUGACACGUGGCGCCUAGGUGCUGGCUGGAUCCAUAUUAUGUAUAUAAAUAGUAUAGCCGCCCGGCUAUACUAGAUUUUCUUAAUUUUUUUUUAAAUAGUAUAGCCGCGCGGCUGUACCCUGCUAACCUAGCGAAUUUUGAAAAUAUAAAAUCAGUUUCUUUACUUUUGAUUUUUGUUGCCAACUUCUUUAAUUUCAUAUAUGUAAUUAAUUUAUAUCUUAGCCUUUUUGAAUUACUUUAAUUAGUAAGUACUUGAAGUUCAAUUUUUUUAAAUAUAUUUGAAGCCCUUGAAUUACUUUAAUUAAGGUCUUGAAGGGCUUAAUGAAUACAUUUAGAGACCUCGAAGGUUACGUAUUAUACAUGUACGUACGUGUUUUUCAUGUUUAACACACGUAUACACGCACAUAUUAUGGAAUAAAAAUAAUAUAUAUUUAAAAAAUACAGUAUAGUGACCGAAUUUUUGGGUUGUAAUGUGCCAAGAUAUUGCCGAAUCAAACACAUACGUAUUUAAUUCGCAUUUUUUUCCCUUCCGUAUUUUACUAACUAUGAAUGAAUGUGAGAGCUCACUUGUUCUAACAAAAAUGCAAGAUAUAUAUUAAGUAAUAUCAUUUAUGAAGUUAAUUAAAAUAUUUAAUAUCAAUUAUUCACUAGAUAAAUAAUAGGUAGGACCUAAUUCAUAAUUCAAGUAAUUAAAUCAGGCUAAGAGAUUGUUUAAUUACUAAAAAUAACCUUUUUUUUUUCUUAAAAAACAUUAUUGACCCUUUUUAAAAUAUAAAAAUAGUAUAGCCGCACGGCUAUACUCGCUUUAAACCCUUUUUUUUCCAGAUUUUAAAAACAGUACAGCCGCAUGGUUUGACACGUGGCGCCUAGGUGCUGGCUAGAUUUUUUUAAAUUUUUUUAAAAAUAGUAUAGCCGAGCGGCUAUACUCGCUUUUAACCCCUUUUUUUUUUUGAAAAAAAAAAUGUUCAGAACUGUACAGCCGCAAGGUUUGACACGUGGCGCCUAGGUGCUGGCUGGAUCCCUAUUAUGUAUAUAAAUAGUACAGCCGCCCGGCUAUAAUAGAUUUUUAAAUUUUUUUUAAAAAUAGUAUAGCCGCGCGGCUAUACUCGCUUUUAAACCCUUUUUUUUAAAUGUUCAGAACAGUACGGCCGCAUGGUUUGACACGUGGCGCCUAGGUGCUGGCUGGAUCCCUAUUAUGUAUAUAAAUAGUACAGCCGCCCGGCUAUAAUAGAUUUUAAAAAUUUUUUUUUUGAAAUAGUAUAGCCGGGCGGCUAUACUCGGUUUUAACCCCUUUUUUUUUAAAAAAAAUGUUCAGAACAGUACGGCCGCAUGGUUUGACACGUGGCGCAUAGGUGCUGGCUGGAUCCCUAUUAUGUAUAUAAAUAGUAUAGCCGCCCGGCGAUACUAGAUUUUCUUAAUUUUUUUUAAAUAGUAUAGCCGCGCGGCUGUACCCUGCUAACCUAGCGAAUUUUGAAAAUAUAAAAUCAGUUUCUUUACUUUUGAUUUUUGUUGCCAACUUCUUUAAUUUCAUAUAUGUAAUUAAUUUAUAUCUUAGCCUUUUUGAAUUACUUUAAUUAGUAAGUACUUGAAGUUCAAUUUUUUUAAAUAUAUUUGAAGCCCAUGAAUUACUUUAAUUAAGGUCUUGAAGGGCUUAAUGAAUACAUUUAGAGACCUCAAAGGUUACGUAUUAUACAUGUACGUACGUGUUUUUCAUGUUUAACACACGUAUACACGCACAUAUUAUGGAAUAAAAAUAAUAUAUAUUUAAAAAAUACGGUAUAGUGACCGAAUUUUUGGGUUGUAAUGUGCCAAGAUAUUGCCGAAUCAAACACAUACGUAUUUAAUUCGCAUUUUUUUUCCUUCCGUAUUUUACUAACUAUGAAUGAAUGUGAGAGCUCACUUGUUCUAACAAAAAUGCAAGAUAUAUAUUAAGUAAUAUCAUUUAUGAAGUUAAUUAAAAUAUUUAAUAUCAAUUAUUCACUAGAUAAAUAAUAGGUAGGACCUAAUUCAUAAUUCAAGUAAUUAAAUCAGGCUAAGAGAUUGUUUAAUUACUAAAAAUAACCUUUUUUUUUUCUUAAAAAACAUUAUUGACCCUUUUUAAAAUAUAAAAAUAGUAUAGCCGCACGGCUAUACUCGCUUUAAACCCUUUUUUUUCCAGAUUUUAAAAACAGUACAGCCGCAUGGUUUGACACGUGGCGCCUAGGUGCUGGCUAGAUUUUUUUAAUUUUUUUAAAAAUAGUAUAGCCGAGCGGCUAUACUCGCUUCAAAAAAAAAAUGUUCAGAACUGUACAGCCGCAAGGUUUGACACGUGGCGCCUGGGUGCUGGCUGGAUCCCUAUUAUGUAUAUAAAUAGUACAGCCGCCCGGCUAUAAUAGAUUUUUAAAUUUUUUUUAAACAUAGUAUAGCCGCGCGGCUAUACUCGCUUUUAAACCCUUUUUUUUUUUUUUUUUUUAAAUGUUCAGAACAGUACGGCCGCAUGGUUUGACACGUGGCGCCUAGGUGCUGGCUGGAUCCCUAUUAUGUAUAUAAAUAGUACAGCCGCCCGGGUGUAAUAGAUUUUUAAAAUUCUUUUUUGGAAAUAGUAUAGCCGCGCGGCUAUACUCGGUUUUAACCCCUUUUUUUUAAAAAAAAAUGUUCAGAACAGUACGGCCGCAUGGUUUGACACGGGGCGCCUAGGUGCUGGCUGGAUCCCUAUUAUGUAUAUAAAUAGUACAGCCGCCCGGCUAUAAUAGAUUUUUAAAUUUUUUUAAAAAAUAGUAUAGCCGCGCGGCUAUACUCGCUUUUAAACCCUUUUUUUUUUUUUUAAAUGUUCAGAACUGUACAGCCGCAAGGUUUGACACGUGGCGCCUAGGUGCUGGCUGGAUCCCUAUUAUGUAUAUAAAUAGUACAGCCGCCCGGCUAUAAUAGAUUUUUAAAUUUUUUUUUUUGAAAUAGUAUAGCCGCGCGGCUAUACUCGGUUUUAACCCCUUUUUUUGUUUUUUUUAAAAUGUUCAGAACAGUACGGCCGCAUGGUUUGACACGUGGCGCCUAGGUGCUGGCUGGAUCCCUAUUAUGUAUAUAAAUAGUAUAGCCGCCCGGCUAUACUAGAUUUUCUUAAUUUUUUUUAAAUAGUAUAGCCGCGCGGCUGUACCCUGCUAACGUAGCGAAUUUUGAAAAUAUAAAAUCAGUUUCUUUACUUUUGAUUUUUGUUGCCAACUUCUUUAAUUUCAUAUAUGUAAUUAAUUUAUAUCUUAGCCUUUUUGAAUUACUUGAAUUAGUAAGUACUUGAAGUUCAAUUUUUUUAAAUAUAUUUGAAGCCCUUGAAUUACUUUAAUUAAGGUCUUGAAGGGCUUAAUGAAUACAUUUAGAGACCUCGAAGGUUACGUAUUAUACAUGUACGUACGUGUUUUUCAUGUUUAACACACGUAUACACGCACAUAUUAUGGAAUAAAAAUAAUAUAUAUUUAAAAAAUACAGUAUAGUGACCGAAUUUUUGGGUUGUAAUGUGCCAAGAUAUUGCCGAAUCAAACACAUACGUAUUUAAUUCGCAUUUUUUUCCCUUCCGUAUUUUACUAACUAUGAAUGAAUGUGAGAGCUCACUUGUUCUAACAAAAAUGCAAGAUAUAUAUUAAGUAAUAUCAUUUAUGAAGUUAAUUAAAAUAUUUAAUAUCAAUUAUUCACUAGAUAAAUAAUAGGUAGGACCUAAUUCAUAAUUCAAGUAAUUAAAUCAGGCUAAGAGAUUGUUUAAUUACUAAAAAUAACCUUUUUUUUUUCUUAAAAAACAUUAUUGACCCUUUUUAAAAUAUAAAAAUAGUAUAGCCGCACGGCUAUACGCGCUUUAAACCCUUUUUUUUCCAGAUUUUAAAAACAGUACAGCCGCAUGGUUUGACACGUGGCGCCUAGGUGCUGGCUAGAUUUUUUAAAUUUUUUUUAAAAUAGUAUAGCCGAGCGGCUAUACUCGCUUUUAACCCCUUUUUUUUUUUGAAAAAAAAAAUGUUCAGAACUGUACAGCCGCAAGGUUUGACACGUGGCGCCUAGGUGCUGGCUGGAUCCCUAUUAUGUAUAUAAAUAGUACAGCCGCCCGGCUAUAAUAGAUUUUUAAAUUUUUUUUAAAAAUAGUAUAGCCGCGCGGCUAUACUCGCUUUUAAACCCUUUUUUUUUUUUUUUUUUUUUUUUUAUAAAUGUUCAGAACAGUACGGCCGCAUGGUUUGACACGUGGCGCCUAGGUGCUGGCUGGAUCCCUAUUAUGUAUAUAAAUAGUACAGCCGCCCGGCUAUAAUAGAUUUUUAAAAUUUUUUUUUUGAAAUAGUAUAGCCGCGCGGCUAUACUCGGUUUUAACCCCUUUUUGUUUUUUUUAAAAUGUUCAGAACAGUACGGCCGCAUGGUUUGACACGUGGCGCCUAGGUGCUGGCUGGAUCCCUAUUGUGUAUAUAAAUAGUAUAGCCGCCCGGCUAUACUAGAUUUUCUUAAUUUUUUUUUAAAUAGUAUAGCCGCGCGGCUGUACCCUGCUAACCUAGCGAAUUUUGAAAAUAUAAAAUCAGUUUCUUUACUUUUGAUUUUUGUUGCCAACUUCUUUAAUUUCAUAUAUGUAAUUAAUUUAUAUCUUAGCCUUUUUGAAUUACUUGAAUUAGUAAGUACUUGAAGUUCAAUUUUUUUAAAUAUAUUUGAAGCCCUUGAAUUACUUUAAUUAAGGUCUUGAAGGGCUUAAUGAAUACAUUUAGAGACCUCGAAGGUUACGUAUUAUACAUGUACGUACGUGUUUUUCAUGUUUAACACACGUAUACACGCACAUAUUAUGGAAUAAAAAUAAUAUAUAUUUAAAAAAUACAGUAUAGUGACCGAAUUUUUGGGUUGUAAUGUGCCAAGAUAUUGCCGAAUCAAACACAUACGUAUUUAAUUCGCAUUUUUUUCCCUUCCGUAUUUUACUAACUAUGAAUGAAUGUGAGAGCUCACUUGUUCUAACAAAAAUGCAAGAUAUAUAUUAAGUAAUAUCAUUUAUGAAGUUAAUUAAAAUAUUUAAUAUCAAUUAUUCACUAGAUAAAUAAUAGGUAGGACCUAAUUCAUAAUUCAAGUAAUUAAAUCAGGCUAAGAGAUUGUUUAAUUACUAAAAAUAACCUUUUUUUUUUCUUAAAAAACAUUAUUGACCCUUUUUAAAAUAUAAAAAUAGUAUAGCCGCACGGCUAUACGCGCUUUAAACCCUUUUUUUUCCAGAUUUUAAAAACAGUACAGCCGCAUGGUUUGACACGUGGCGCCUAGGUGCUGGCUAGAUUUUUUAAAUUUUUUUUAAAAUAGUAUAGCCGAGCGGCUAUACUCGCUUUUAACCCCUUUUUUUUUUUGAAAAAAAAAAAUGUUCAGAACUGUACAGCCGCAAGGUUUGACACGUGGCGCCUAGGUGCUGGCUGGAUCCCUAUUAUGUAUAUAAAUAGUACAGCCGCCCGGCUAUAAUAGAUUUUUAAAUUUUUUUUUUUGAAAUAGUAUAGCCGCGCGGCUAUACUCGGUUUUAACCCUUUUUUUUGUUUUUUUUAAAAUGUUCAGAACAGUACGGCCGCAUGGUUUGACACGUGGCGCCUAGGUGCUGGCUGGAUCCCUAUUGUGUAUAUAAAUAGUAUAGCCGCCCGGCUAUACUAGAUUUUCUUAAUUUUUUUUAAAUAGUAUAGCCGCGCGGCUGUACCCUGCUAACCUAGCGAAUUUUGAAAAUAUAAAAUCAGUUUCUUUACUUUUGAUUUUUGUUGCCAACUUCUUUAAUUUCAUAUAUGUAAUUAAUUUAUAUCUUAGCCUUUUUGAAUUACUUGAAUUAGUAAGUACUUGAAGUUCAAUUUUUUUAAAUAUAUUUGAAGCCCUUGAAUUACUUUAAUUAAGGUCUUGAAGGGCUUAAUGAAUACAUUUAGAGACCUCGAAGGUUACGUAUUAUACAUGUACGUACGUGUUUUUCAUGUUUAACACACGUAUACACGCACAUAUUAUGGAAUAAAAAUAAUAUAUAUUUAAAAAAUACAGUAUAGUGACCGAAUUUUUGGGUUGUAAUGUGCCAAGAUAUUGCCGAAUCAAACACAUACGUAUUUAAUUCGCAUUUUUUUCCCUUCCGUAUUUUACUAACUAUGAAUGAAUGUGAGAGCUCACUUGUUCUAACAAAAAUGCAAGAUAUAUAUUAAGUAAUAUCAUUUAUGAAGUUAAUUAAAAUAUUUAAUAUCAAUUAUUCACUAGAUAAAUAAUAGGUAGGACCUAAUUCAUAAUUCAAGUAAUUAAAUCAGGCUAAGAGAUUGUUUAAUUACUAAAAAUAACCUCUUUUUUUUCUUAAAAAACAUUAUUGACCCUUUUUAAAAUAUAAAAAUAGUAUAGCCGCACGGCUAUACGCGCUUUAAACCCUUUUUUUUCCAGAUUUUAAAAACAGUACAGCCGCAUGGUUUGACACGUGGCGCCUAGGUGCUGGCUAGAUUUUUUAAAUUUUUUUUAAAAUAGUAUAGCCGAGCGGCUAUACUCGCUUUUAACCCCUUUUUUUUUUUGAAAAAAAAAAUGUUCAGAACUGUACAGCCGCAAGGUUUGACACGUGGCGCCUAGGUGCUGGCUGGAUCCCUAUUAUGUAUAUAAAUAGUACAGCCGCCCGGCUAUAAUAGAUUUUUAAAUUUUUUUUAAAAAUAGUAUAGCCGCGCGGCUAUACUCGCUUUUAAACCCUUUUUUUUUUUUUUUUUUUUUUUUUAUAAAUGUUCAGAACAGUACGGCCGCAUGGUUUGACACGUGGCGCCUAGGUGCUGGCUGGAUCCCUAUUAUGUAUAUAAAUAGUACAGCCGCCCGGCUAUAAUAGAUUUUUAAAUUUUUUUUUUUGAAAUAGUAUAGCCGCGCGGCUAUACUCGGUUUUAACCCCUUUUUUUUGUUUUUUUUAAAAUGUUCAGAACAGUACGGCCGCAUGGUUUGACACGUGGCGCCUAGGUGCUGGCUGGAUCCCUAUUGUGUAUAUAAAUAGUAUAGCCGCCCGGCUAUACUAGAUUUUCUUAAUUUUUUUUUAAAUAGUAUAGCCGCGCGGCUGUACCCUGCUAACCUAGCGAAUUUUGAAAAUAUAAAAUCAGUUUCUUUACUUUUGAUUUUUUUUGCCAACUUCUUUAAUCUCAUAUAUGUAAUUAAUUUAUAUCUUAGCCUUUUUGAAUUACUUUAAUUAGUAAGUACUUGAUGUUCAAUUUUUUUAAAUAUAUUUGAAGCCCUUGAAUUACUUUAAUUAAGGUCUUGAAGGGCUUAAUGAAUACAUUUAGAGACCUCGAAGGUUACGAAUUAUACAUGUACGUACGUGUUUUUCAUGUUUAGCACACGUAUACACGCACAUAUUAUGGAAUAAAAAUAAUAUAUAUUUAAAAAAUAGAGUAUAGUGGCCGAACUUUUAAGUUGUAGUGUGCCAAGAUAUUGCCGAAUCAAACACAUACGUAUUUAAUUCGCAUUUUUUUCCCUUCCGUAUUUUACUAACUAUGAAUGAAUGUGAGAGCUCACUUGUUCUAACAAAAAUGCAAGAUAUAUAUUAAGUAAUAUCAUUUAUGAAGUUAAUUAAAAUAUUUAAUAUCAAUUAUUCACUAGAUAAAUAAUAGGUAGGACCUAAUUCAUAAUUCAAGUAAUUAAAUCAGGCUAAGAGAUUGUUUAAUUACUAAAAAUAACCUUUUUUUUUUUCUUAAAAAACAUUAUUGACCCUUUUUAAAAUAUAAAAAUAGUAUAGCCGCACGGCUAUACUCGCUUUAAACCCUUUUUUUUCCAGAUUUUAAAAACAGUACAGCCGCAUGGUUUGACACGUGGCGCCUAGGUGCUGGCUAGAUUUUUUUAAUUUUUUUAAAAAUAGUAUAGCCGAGCGGCUAUACUCGCUUCAAAAAAAAAAUGUUCAGAACUGUACAGCCGCAAGGUUUGACACGUGGCGCCUGGGUGCUGGCUGGAUCCCUAUUAUGUAUAUAAAUAGUACAGCCGCCCGGCUAUAAUAGAUUUUUAAAUUUUUUUUAAAAAUAGUAUAGCCGCGCGGCUAUACUCGCUUUUAAACCCUUUUUUUUUUUUUUUUUUUAAAUGUUCAAUGUUCAAAACAAUACGGCCGCAUGGGUUGACACAGUCCCGCCUAGGUGCUGGCUGGAUCCCUAUUAAUAUAAAUAGGACAGCCGCCCGGGCGUAAAAAAUUUUUAAAAUUCUUUUUUGGAAAUAGUAUAGCCGCUGGGCUAUACUCUGUUUUAACCCCUUUUUUUUUACAAAAAAUGCUCAGAAACAGCUCGGCCGCAUGGGAUUGACACGGGUGACACGGGGCGCCUAGGUGCUGGCUGGAUCCUAUUAUGUAUAUAAAUAGUACAGCCGCCCCGGCUAUAUAGAUUUUUAAAUUUUUUUUAAAAAUAGUAUAGCCGCACGGCUAUACGCGCUUUAAACCCUUUUUUUUCCAGAUUUUAAAAACAGUACAGCGGCAUGGUUUGACACGUGGCGCCUAGGUGCUGGCUAGAUUUUUUAAAUUUUUUUUAAAAUAGUAUAGCCGAGCGGCUAUACUCGCUUUUAACCCCUUUUUUUUUUUUUAAAAAAAUGUUCAGAACAGUACGGCCGCAUGGUUUGACACGGGGCGCCUAGGUGCUGGCUGGAUCCCUAUUAUGUAUAUAAAUAGUACAGCCGCCCGGCUAUAAUAGAUUUUUAAAUUUUUUUUAAAAAUAGUAUAGCCGCGCGGCUAUACUCGCUUUUAAACCCUUUUUUUUUUUUUUUUUUUUUUUUAAAAAAAUGUUCAGAACUGUACAGCCGCAAGGUUUGACACGUGGCGCCUAGGUGCUGGCUGGAUCCCUAUUAUGUAUAUAAAGUUCAGAACAGUACGGCCGCCUGGUUUGACACGUGGCGCCUAGGUGCUGGCUGGAUCCCUAUUAUGUAUAUAAAUUUUAACCCCUUUUUGUUUUUUAAAAAAUGUUCAGAACAGUACGGCCGCAUGGUUUGACACGUGGCGCCUAGGUGCUGGCUGGAUCCCUAUUGUGUAUAUAAAUAGUAUAGCCGCCCGGCUAUACUAGAUUUUCUUAAUUUUUUUAUAAAUAGUAUAGCCGCGCGGCUUUACCCUGCUAACCUAGCGAAUUUUGAAAAUAUAAAAUCAGUUUCUUUACUUUUGAUUUUUGUUGCCAACUUCUUUAAUUUCAUAUAUGUAAUUAAUUUAUAUCUUAGCCUUUUUGAAUUACUUGAAUUAGUAAGUACUUGAAGUUCAAUUUUUUUAAAUAUAUUUGAAGCCCUUGAAUUACUUUAAUUAAGGUCUUGAAGGGCUUAAUGAAUACAUUUAGAGACCUCGAAGGUUACGUAUUAUACAUGUACGUACGUGUUUUUCAUGUUUAACACACGUAUACACGCACAUAUUAUGGAAUAAAAAUAAUAUAUAUUUAAAAAAUACAGUAUAGUGACCGAAUUUUUGGGUUGUAAUGUGCCAAGAUAUUGCCGAAUCAAACACAUACGUAUUUAAUUCGCAUUUUUUUCCCUUCCGUAUUUUACUAACUAUGAAUGAAUGUGAGAGCUCACUUGUUCUAACAAAAAUGCAAGAUAUAUAUUAAGUAAUAUCAUUUAUGAAGUUAAUUAAAAUAUUUAAUAUCAAUUAUUCACUAGAUAAAUAAUAGGUAGGACCUAAUUCAUAAUUCAAGUAAUUAAAUCAGGCUAAGAGAUUGUUUAAUUACUAAAAAUAACCUUUUUUUUUUCUUAAAAAACAUUAUUGACCCUUUUUAAAAUAUAAAAAUAGUAUAGCCGCACGGCUAUACGCGCUUUAAACCCUUUUUUUUCCAGAUUUUAAAAACAGUACAGCCGCAUGGUUUGACACGUGGCGCCUAGGUGCUGGCUAGAUUUUUUAAAUUUUUUUUAAAAUAGUAUAGCCGAGCGGCUAUACUCGCUUUUAACCCCUUUUUUUUUUUGAAAAAAAAAAUGUUCAGAACUGUACAGCCGCAAGGUUUGACACGUGGCGCCUAGGUGCUGGCUGGAUCCCUAUUAUGUAUAUAAAUAGUACAGCCGCCCGGCUAUAAUAGAUUUUUAAAUUUUUUUUAAAAAUAGUAUAGCCGCGCGGCUAUACUCGCUUUUAAACCCUUUUUUUUUUUUUUUUAAAAUGUUCAGAACAGUACGGCCGCAUGGUUUGACACGUGGCGCCUAGGUGCUGGCUGGAUCCCUAUUAUGUAUAUAAAUAGUAUAGCCGCCCGGCUAUACUAGAUUUUCUUAAUUUUUUUUAAAUAGUAUAGCCGCGCGGCUGUACCCUGCUAACCUAGCGAAUUUUGAAAAUAUAAAAUCAGUUUCUUUACUUUUGAUUUUUGUUGCCAACUUCUUUAAUUUCAUAUAUGUAAUUAAUUUAUAUCUUAGCCUUUUUG